rnacentral:misc_RNA from 1 species
GAUGAAGAACGUAGCGAAAUGCGAUAAGUAGUGUGAAUUGCAGAAUUCAGUGAAUCAUCGAAUCUUUGAACGCACAUUGCGCCCCAUGGUAUUCCGUGGGGCUUGCCUGUUCGAGCGUCAUUUACCCCCUCAAGCUCCGCUUGGUGUUGGGCGUCUGUCCCGCUUCGCGCGCGGACUCGCCCCAAAGGUAUUGGCAGCGGUCGUGCCAGCUUCUCGCGCAGCACAUUGCGCUUCUCGAGGCACCGGUGGGCCCGCGUCCAUCAAGCUCACCCCCCCAGUUUGACCUCGGAUCAGGUAGGGAUACCCGCUGAACUUAAGCAUAUCAAUAAGCGGAGGA